rnacentral:snRNA from 1 species
GGAUAUAACUCAACCGGG